rnacentral:lncRNA from 1 species
AAAUACAUCUGGGUUCAAUCCUAUUACCAAAAAAAAAAAAAAAAAAAAAAAGAAUAGCUAGCACUUGGAAAGGGUUUGCAGACAGCACUUUCUGAUUAGAACAGAAGGCAAACUCUAUCACCGAUCAGGACCAUGGUGCUUUAUCACUUUGACAUGUCCCUCAGGACAGACUUUCUCUCUUGUUCUUGAGCUCCCAUGUAUCACUGAGGCAGAUCAUGGGUUCUUUAUGUGGUCUCUUGAUAAGUUAUAUACUCUCAGGAUAUCAGCUACCAUUUGCACAUGGCAACUUCCCUGGGCACAGCAUGGAAAAAGCUUCUGAAUUCCUGGAACUUAAUUUUCUUGCCUGAGUGAUCCCAGAGAUCUUUCUAGCUUAUCAGGCUCUGACAGUAAUUCUCAAGCCUCUGGUCCCCAGGAAUAUUUUUGUUUUCUUCACUGUAGGACCAUGAUACUUGAUAGGCCACUGUUUUCCUAAAUUACCCCUAAGUCUCUCAGACUGCUAUAAACUGCUCCAAAGUUCCCUCUCUGUUGCCUACAACUUUAUAUAUCAGCAUCCUUCUAGAUAAUUUUCUUGGCCCUGUUUUCUAGCUUUCAUAUCAUUCUCUGGUGAAGAUCCAUCAAAGAGGUGGUUAAGUUACCGAAGAGGUACAGGUAUGACAGUGGUCACCUUCCCACUCUGACAUCUCUCUUUUCUCUGGGAAAGAGAUUUGUAAAGAGAGACUCCUUUGGUAUAGGCAAGAAAUUUUACUUUUUAAUGACAGUAACCUUCUUUACUAGAUGAAAUAUAAAAUUUUCUGGGCCUUUUCCUCCUCUCUCUGCUACUAUACGGCCUUUUCUCACUCUCACCCUAAUUUCCUAGUUUGUGCUCCAUUUGAUUCUUCAUCGUGUUUGCCCACACCCCACAUGUAGACCAUCCUUUGUUCUUUUUGCUAAUUUUCCUGGGCAAAACCUAUUGUCAUGGACCUAGUUAAUGUUGUUUUAGUUAGUGUCUCUUCCAUAUUAAAAAUCCUUCUUGACCCUGUAUAGUCUCUCAUUAGCUCACUCACAGGCAUGCUCUUGAAAAAAAGAGCCUAUAACAACCACCAUCUCUUCUACCUCCCUAUGUUUCAGCCCCUGUAGUUGGGCUUCUGCUUCCACCAUUUUUCUGAAACAAUAUCAAAGACUGUUGUUGAUCUAAUGGCUAAAUAAUGAGUUUUCCCCAAUUCUUAUAUUAAUAUCUCCAUUGCAUUUAACAAUGCUAACCAUUUCCUUUACGUCUCUCUCUCCCUAUUUGGCUUGUAUGGCAUGCGUUGUCCUUGUUCUUCCACCUCUUUGUACAUUCCUCCUCUGCAGUUUUUGGACUUCUAUACUUCUGCUUGCUUCUUGAAUGUGGCCAUUCUCUGGAACUCAUUCUCAAUCUUCUUUUCUUCUUAUGUUACCCACUUUCUCUGUGACCACCAUUUUUAUGUGCAUAAGUCAAACUAAGUUUUACUUUUAGUCCAAACCUCUUUGCUUAGCUGCAGAUUCUAGUUGGGCAUCUCUACUCACAUGAUCCCCAGGUACCUCAGGUUAUAGAUGUCUAAAUCCAGUCAUCUUUUCCUCUGUAUCUGUUUCUCUUCUAGUUUUUCUGGGUGUUACCUAAGCCAGGAAUAUGGAAGCCAUUCUAAACUAUUCUCCUUCCAUGUUCCCAGCUAGUCCCCCUUUAUAGCAAAUCAGAUACCAAAUCCUAUCAAAUUCUCUCUUCAAUAUCCAUCCAUCCUGUCCCUCUGAGUCUCUCCAUAAAAUUAUUAUUCAGACUCCCUAUCUCCAGAUCUUUCUAAACAAAUCUCAUCCCAUACUCCCUUGAUUAAAAUCCUUUUGAUAGUUCAGUCCCUCCGUUUCUCAAACUGGAGUCCACAUAACCUGGCAGAUUCAUAGGCAUACUGAAAGUCACAGGAUGAAAUUAUCCUAAAAUUUUCAUUUGAGGGUAAAUAAUUUAAAGUGGAAUGGAAAUUUAGCAUGCAUGCACUAGUAAGAGAAAAUAGAUGUCAAAGAAUUCCUGCUAGUCUGAAGGGCUUCAAGCUAAGAUACCACAUUCCCUGGGGAUUUUUUUUUUUUUUGAGUCAGGGACAUAACAUUCACUUCAAUGGAAAAGUUUUAAAAGUAACUCACAUUUCCUGGAAAGGCAAGUAAGAUUCUGUGAUCUAACCCCCUGCCUCCUCCUGACUUAUCCUCUACAUUGUCUUGCUCUCCACUUAAUUCCAAAAACCAUAUAAACUGCUUACAGUUUCCUGAAUGUAAUAAGCUCUUUCAAAUCUCUAUUCCUUUAUCCACACUGUUCCUCUGCUUUGCUCUAUUGUUCUGUCUGACUAAUACCCAAUUAUCUUUCACAACUCAUCUCACAAGUCACCCCCCAGUGAAGCUUUCCACCGUCCCAGUCUGUUCACAACUCAACACCACUCUCACCAGGAAAGGUCAGUUACAUCCUGUUUUAUGCUCCUCUUUUGUACCCUGUACACUGCAUAUUCUGGCUCCUGCUGCACUUUAUUGUCCCUCAAGUUUAAGCACACUGAACUGUUAGAGUUUGAAUCAGUUCUCCCACCUGAGAACUGACUGAUCUUUGGCAAGAUAAUGUGUGUGUCUGGUAUACUAUAGCAUCUGGCCCAUCAUAAACAGUAACAGUGUUAGUGCCAUUACAAUUAUUUCUGUUAUGAUUUGACUUCAGAGAGGUAGUCUAAAAUAACAUUUUGGUUGAAAGAGCAGGUUCUAGUGCUAGAAUUGCCUGGGUUCAUGUCUUACCCCAGCCACUUACUAACUGUAACCUUGGGCAAGUUAAUUUAUCUAUGACUCUUAUUUUCUUAUUUCUGUGAAUAAUAAUAAUAGUGGCUAUUUCAUGGGGUUGCUGCAAGGUUUAAGUGAGUUAAAUGCUUAGAAUGGUGCCUGGGAGUAGGACGAAUUCAGUAUACAUUAGCUGUCCCCAGGAUAGCAGCUAGAAAUUUGCUCUCAGUAAUUGUUGCUUGAAUAAAUGAUUGACCAAUCCCUCUAAGAGGUUGUAACCUCUCCCUCUACACUCCCUGUGCUGAUGCUUCAGGAACUGUCCUCAGGAGACACCUUUUGUGCAGAAUUCAUUCCCUAUGAUAACUCCCUAGCAACUAGUGCAGAAGGGAUAGGAGGAUAUUUUUAUAUUGGAUUGCCUGACAUGAUGAAUCAAUUUUUAAUCUAAUUUCUCCCACUUAUUUGUUGUCUGUGUUUUUCUCUUAAGUCCCAGUUUGGUAUUAAAUUGUGUUAUUUCAGUUUGAGCACAAAUUACAAGCUCCCUCACCAUUUUUCAUCAUUUCUGAAUAGUAUUUCCUCGCUGUUCAAACCAGUUAAAGGCUCAUUCCAGUCCUCCUAUAUUCUCUCCCAGAGGGACUCUUCAUCACUCACAGUUUCUCUCUCUGCAGUUGUGAUGAGUCCCUGCCUCCCUUGUCUGGGCUUUCCAGUUGGGGCUCAAGUCUUCCUGAUUGGCCAUGUGUAAUUCACUGGAUCAGAACCAGAGCUCCAUGCUUGCUUCUCUUCCCCUCAAACUCAUCACCAGUCCUUCAGACUGUAUUUUAUGGCAUCUUCCACCAUUCUUUUUUAAAAAAUAUUUUUAGUUGUACAUGGACACAAUACCUUUAUCCCUGAGCUACAACCCCAGCCCCUUCUACCAUUCUUACUACUUUGCUUUUAAGUGCUAUCUGUUACAGUCAUAAGAAAAUAAAUAUCCACAGGCCAUAUGCUGCCUCACCCCUCCGUGACUUGACAUGUUCUACCCACUUGGAAUGUCUGCCUUCUCUUUCCUGCUUCUACCUGGUGGAAAAUUCAUCCUUCCAGUUCAAGUGUCACCUGCUCCUGUAAAAUCUUCAUAACCUCUUCCCUGUAUACUUGAUCAUUCUUCAACUACCUCUCCUGUACCUCUACACACUUCUUUAUAGCACUCAAAAUUCUAUGGUAAUUUAUUUUUUAUAAGUUCAAAUCCUGGCCUGGAUACUUACCCACAUAUGACCUUAGGCAAGUUGCUUUACUUCCAAGAACCUUAGUUGCCACCUCUGUAAAAUAGGAUUAUAGUACUGACCUCAAAAGUAUGGAGCAUAUUUCAAAUAAAAUUCAAACCUAUAAGUACUCUUAAUUUUCUAUAGGAUUAAGUCCAAGCUUCUCAGAAGGGCAUACAAGAGCCUUCCAGCAAACUGUCAGUGCUAUUACCCUAUUCUCUCUCCUGAGAAAUCACUUUUGUCUGGUGAUAUAUUGGACUGUUCUGAUUGUGACACAUUACAAUUAAAUUAGUUUAACCAAAAAAAAAAAAAAAUAAAGAUCCAAUCAUAUUUGGGUUAUGCAAAUGAUUUCAGAUGGGCUCAGGGGCUCAAAUGUCUGAGCUCUGUCUCUGUAUUUCUCCAUUCCACAUCAUUAUAUCUCAUCUCAUGGAAAAACUUUGGGUUUGCCAGGGUUAAAUGCCAUUUAGAUUGGAUUAAUGGGGGCAUGGGGAAGGACACCAGGAUUAAUGAACUAGAGGAGUCUAGGAGGAAAACCUUAAAUGAAAGCGGAGAUGGGAGAGUGAAUUCAGCCUUCACAGUAUGCUUUGUAUGUUUUCAUCUAUACAGAGAAUCCUGAGAUUUCUAUUUUUUCUCCUGUCCCUUCCUUUCUCCUGAAUUUAAAAUUACUGUUUCUGUUGUCUGCUAAAAUGCACCAUCUCACCUCAAACUCAGGAUAACCCAGAUUGCUUUCUUUUUCUCCAUUUGCUCCAUGUGAGUUAUCCAACUUGCCAGUCUUGUUUAGUUUGGGAUCCUCUCUCUGCUCUUCCCCCACUUUCCACCGUUGGUCUAGGUCAGGCCUUAUUGUGUCAGGGUAGUUCCGCUGUGGGGAUCCCCAGCUGGUCUCUUGAUGAUAAACCUACUGUCACCAGGUUUGUCUUUCAAAACCUAACCAGGAUCAUAUCAGCCUCCUACUCAAUCUUCAGGGACAUUCCCUGUACAAAUUAAAUUCUUCACUUUUUAUCCAAAACACUUCAUGAUUUCAACCUACCUUUAACCUUCUAUCAUAGGGAGGCCUUUCAUUCACUGCAUCUUUUAGACACACUGAGUCCCCUUCCGUUAUACUGUGCCUGUCCUUGCUUUCCUGAGUUGGUUUCUUUGUCCCUGUAUUUUCCUCAGCCAGAAAUACCUGUGUUGCUUCCACCUUGCUUGCUAUGUGAUCUUGAGCAAACCCCUCAACCUCUCUGAUUCUAUUAUUCUGCUAAGAGGCAAUAAUUGCAUUGACCUUACAGGAAUCAAUCACAAGAGCAUAUGGAAAGCAGUUGGAUGCAUGAUUUUCAGAGAAUGUACUCUUGGCCCUUCUCACACAUAUUCUGGGUCUUUCUAGCUCCUUCAUCCUGAUAACCUGCCUUGGUUGUUUCCUAACAAAAAGCCUCCCUCUUUUCUCUCCAGAGCUUUUCCUGCAAGUUUUGUCUCAUUCCAUCCCUCUUCCUGAGUUUCUUCAGUUCAAGGAACACGAAAUGAUAUCUACAAUGUGUGGCACUGGCUGUCCACUGAUGGAUCAGACCUUUCCCUGACUUUUUAGGGGUCCAGGCAUGCCUUCAAAUACCAAAUGAUGAGUGUUACAUGAAGUCUCUCCCUUCUGGCCAGAUGUCUUUCCAGACCCAGUCCCUUCAGCCAAGAUCUCAGGCAGAGGACGCCAGUUAGCUGACUGAGGCCCAGGGAUGCACAGAAUAAUUAACUGGUGAACCCUUUGCCCUCAACUUUGCUCCCUGUCCUCAUGGGCUUACCCUCCCCUCAGCUUCUCUGUGUGGGUACUAUGUAGGAAAUGCUCCUUGUCUUUUACAGGAUGGGGAUGGGAGAAGUUUGAAUGCCAACCAGAGGCUGCAUUCAUUCCCACCUGGACUUCUAUGGCCCUCACCAAAAACCCUUAGGUCCUGUUGUUCUUAGCCGACUGCCUGUGAGUCCCAUUUACUAUUCCUUCCACUGUUCCACCCACUCACUCAUGAACAUGUAGGAAUGUUUUUUUUUCCAUUUCUUCCUGUCAUUUCUACUUCUCUGACCCUUUUAAUUUUUGUGCUAAUACAGAGCCUCAAACAAUCAUGGGAGCAGAGUUGAUAGAGUUCAUACAGGCUGGACCCUUGGAGAAACUCCACUGGUUUACCUUCUGGGAAAAGAAAACAGAAGGGCCCCUUCAAGAGAAGUGAAUGGAGAGUGAGUCACACAGGGUGGAACUUUGAAGUCAUCACUUCACUUCCCAUGAGUCAGGAAGACUCUAGGAAGGAUGUGGAAUUUUAGUUGUUGGACUGAGUAUUCUUUCCCCAUACCGUGGGCCUUCAUCCUUAUCAAACCUGUGGAUUCAGUUUCCCUAGUUCAUUAGCCCACUGUGGUUUGGUUUUCCUUGUAUCCAGGUAGAAGAAAGCAUGGCCUUGAACCUAGUUUUCCUGCAGAUUCCAAAGAGUCCCAUUUCUGCUGUCCUGCCUCCCAUUUCCUGAGCUGGGUUGGGGAGCAUCCUCUUCACAGUCUCCCAUCUAGAGGGGCCAGUAUCUCUGCCCAGUGCUUGCCAUCAGCUGUACCAGACUUUUACCAUUUUUCAGAAACUCCUCAUCCUAUAAUCCUGUUCAGCGAAUGCCUCACCUUCUGACAAAAGAGAAAAUAGACUUCUUCAAAUAAAAACUCCCUCAGUCUCCUUCCAACCCACUGACAGACACUCUUCUCUUCCACAUAUUUUAGUCUGCAAGGUAUUCUUAGCCAAAGACCAAUCCCGCCACAUGUGUUGGAGUUCAGUGCCUUGUUCCACACAGCAUAUAAACAUGCUCCAGCCUCUUCCUAUUGGUUAGGAUCAAUCUGGGGUUGAGAACCACAUGCUGAUAUUUUAAAAGUUUCCCAGCUGUUGCUGAAAAUAUAAACAAUAAAAUCCAAACGUCUUACCAGGGCUACAAGGCUCUUCAUAAACUAACUCCUGCCUACAUUUCCUACCUUUACCAAUGCACUCUGAGCUGGAGUGCUACCAAACUACUUACAGAGUUGCCCAAACCUGCUAUAUUUUUUGCUUCUGUGUGUGUGUGUCCCUCUGCUUGGAAAGCCUUUCCCUGCCAUCUAGAAAGUGCUCUAAUGUUCAACUUUAGUGUCAUUUCUUGGAAGUCUUCGAAAGUAACCUUCAUGCUGUGUGAAGGCGCCCCCCCCUUCCCCAAUGCUUUCAUAACCUUCUGGGUUUAUCUCUUCAGCUGAAACUUACCACAUACUACUCUAGUUGUUCAUGGAUAUGCUCAUCUUCCCCAUGGUGAGUGUUUGUAGGAACUACAGAGCCAUGGAAAUGCCACUUGGUAGACUUGAGUCUAUAUUAGAUAUUGGAAGAUGCUUUCUCUCAGGAGCAGGACAAGGCUGAAUAAAGUGUCUUUGAGUACAUUCAUUCAUGUAGGCACUCAACAUUUACUGAGGACUUGCCAUGGUCAUUUACCAAUGUAAUCCAGGUGAAUAAAUCUAUAGAUGAAGAAGUAUCCUGUCACUACUUUGUCUGGCCUCUGGAACAGUCUCAUCAUCUAUAAUAGUCUGCUUUGUGUAUCUCUAGUGGACUCUCAUGACUGACACUUAAAACCCCUCAGUAGCUUUCUCAGAACAGUUCUUUGCACACAGUAAGUGUUUAGGAAAUAUUUUAAAUGAAUGCUCACAAAUCCAUAUACAAAUAUGUAUCUUCUUCAUAUAUGGGCUUCUUCCUCACUUUGCCAGUUAAAUGUUGAGACAGAAACAAUGCUACGUAUUUCACAUGGUUUAUCUCCUUUUAUCUGCACAAUAAUUCUAUGAAAUAAGUGUUGUUAUGGUUCCCAUUUUAUUGAGGUUUCAAAAUUUACCUAAGGUCAUAUAAGUACCAAUUGAAACAUUAAAACUCAGGACUUUGGAGUCAGGUGUGACCUCAAAGCCACUAGAAUAUAUCUGGAAGACAUUAGGACUUCAAUAAAUAUUUAUUGGCUCCAUGAAUACUGCUUUCAAGUGGAGGGGAGUGGAAAGGUUUUUGAAUUAUUUCCCUUUCUACUUGAUUCUGGGUCCCUUGGUCUCUUUCCUUUUUCACAUUGUCCCAUUCACUCUAACAUCCACUCAGAAAACAUUAUAAAGGUUCAGCUGAGUGGGUCAGAUGAUAGAUUGUAUUGAUACUUGAGAUGACUCAAGUAUUGCCCCUGUUGAGAGGAGCUUGUAGUUGGGGUUGAAAAUUACAUUAGAGUAAAAUCAUGGGAGGAAGAGAGAGUGACUUACUGGCUGGGAGACUGGACUGUGCUUUUGUGCUGAGCCAGUGGGUAAGGCUUGAGGGUAAGGGAGUAUGAAAGACAUCUUGGGGGAUGGUAAAGCACUGGUAUGACUCAGGAGGGUGACAGAGGUAGAAUAAGAAGACUAGGUAGGGACUAGAUCAGGUUGAACCCUAGCAUACAAUGCUAAGGAGUAUGAGUUCUUUGAAUACUUGGAUUCUUUUGCCAUUUUCUUAAAAGUGCAGGUACUAAUGGGUUGGGUUAGAUCUGUACUUUAGCUUUUACUUCUUAUCUAAA